rnacentral:rRNA from 1 species
GUGGGGAAUCUUGCGCAAUGGGCGAAAGCCUGACGCAGCCAUGCCGCGUGAAUGAUGAAGGUCUUAGGAUUGUAAAAUUCUUUCACCGGGGACGAUAAUGACGGUACCCGCAUAAGAAGCCCCGGCUAACUCCGUGCCAGCAGCCGCGGUAAUACGGAGGGGGCGAGCGUUGUUCGGAAUCACUGGGCGUAAAGCGUGCGUAGGCGGUUAUACAAGUCAGGAGUGAAAUCCCAGGGCUAAACCUUGGAAUUGCUUUUGAGACUGUAUGACUAGAGAUCUAGAGAGGUUGGGGGAAUUCCGAGUGUAGAGGUGAAAUUCGCAGAUAUUCGGAGGAACACCAGUGGCGUAGGCGCCCAACUGGCUAGAUACUGACGCUGAGGCACGAAAGCGUGGGGAGCAAACAGGAUUAGAUACCCGUGUAGUCC